rnacentral:rRNA from 1 species
UUCCCCCAGUAGCGGCGAGCGAACGGGGAGCAGCCCAGAGUCUGAAUCAGCUUGUGUGUUAGUGGAAGCGUCUGGAAAGUCGCACGGUACAGGGUGAAAGUCCCGUACACGAAAAUGCACAGGUUGUGAACUCGAAGAGUAGGGCGGGACACGUGGUAUCCUGUCUGAAUAUGGGGGGACCAUCCUCCAAGGCUAAAUACUCCUGACUGACCGAUAGUGAACCAGUACCGUGAGGGAAAGGCGA